UCACUAGACCGAGCAGGGGUUCA
rnacentral:miRNA from 1 species